AUAAGUGUUAAGGUCCCUAUGUAGAGUUAUUAUGACACAUUACAUUUUGUCCACAAAACUGGUGUCCUCCUGGAGCAACGGCAUUAUGUAGAUAUAAAACAGACAUUAAUGUGACCACCCCAUUACUGAGAGGGGUCCUUCCAGAACCAGGAAGUACAGAAGACAUCACUGGAGCACAUGGACUGUACACAAGCUAGUUUGAUUUCCAAAGAGAGAGGCUGAAAUGACCACCAAGGAAAGGUCCAGGAAGUUUAGGGAGAGGCUGAAUGCGGAUUCUGAGAGGAAAGAGAACUUGCUGAGAGAGAGACGCAGAAAAUAUCAGCAGAAGAAAGCAUGCGGGAAAAUCUUUCAGCAAAGCGUGAAGUCUGUGUCGCCAGCAACACAGAAGAAGCUACAAGAGAAAUGGAGAGAGUCAAAGCGGAGAUGUAGGGCAAGGGAAAAAGCCACUAAUGCUGUCCUUGAUCUUACGCCACAAUCACCUCAGGAUCAUGACCAGCCAUUUGAAGAGAUCAAUGACCCCCCAGUGGCAAGGCCAGUUAUCAAUGGAGCCUCAGUGGCAAGGCCGGUUCUGCAUGAAGUGAUCAAUGCUGUCCCAGUACCAGUACACGUUUUGUGUAGCACACCAGAGAAGUCCCCCCGAAACCAAAAUCCACCCAAAAAAAGAAGAAAAACUAAAAUGACCAAAGAACUACGGAAACUACAAAAACAAAAUGAGAAAUUAAUGAAGGAACUUGAGGCUGAAAGAAGAAGAGUAAAUACAUUUAGGCGAAAGAAUCAACGCCUCGUGCAAAGACGGAAUAUGGAUAAACGUGCUAACAAAAAAACACAAACAAAGCGAGGAAACACUGGAAUUCAAUUAAAAAUAUAUAUUUUACCUGUGUUUUGACUGAAUUUAAAAUAAUAAAUUUGACUGUACACAA